rnacentral:rRNA from 1 species
UACGGAGGGUGCGAGCGUUGUCCGGAAUCACUGGGCGUAAAGGGCGCGUAGGCGGCCUGAUAAGUAGGGGGUGAAAUCCUGCGGCUUAACCGCAGGGCUGCCUUCUAGACUGUCAGGCUAGAGCACAGUAGAGGCAGGUGGAAUUCCCGGUGUAGCGGUGGAAUGCGUAGAUAUCGGGAGGAACACCAGCGGCGAAGGCGGCUUUCUGGACCAAUACUGACGCUGAGACGCGAAAGCGUGGGGAGCAAACAGG